AGUCCAAACCCCCAUGCAAAGAUGGACAGGUAAUGUUUACACCUUCCCAUCACAGAUAUAUUUAAUAUUUAGAAAUUCUUGCUAUUCAUAUUAGUAUAAACUGUAUUUCUCUAAAAUUAACACGAUUGUACUCUGAGCACGCUAAAAAAAGAAACCUAUGCUAUNAAUCUUUAAAUAAUUUCUAGUGAAUCCUGAUUCAGAUAAAGGUAUGAUUUAUUCAUAUGUCCUCUUCACUGUCAAAAGGUAGGGAAGCACAGCAGAAGGGUUUGCCUCCUGGAGGAGACCAAAACACUACACUUGAAAAGGAACCUAUCCAACCACCAGAUAUCCAUGCAGGAUGUGCCCCACUCUCUCUGAACUAUCAAGUCUCUCACCGAUUGCCAGCACAAAGCGUGGUACAAGAGAUUGUUUCAACUAUUGACUCUGUCAAAGACUGUGAAGAACCAACUUCCACAUCAGUCAUCAGAGAUCCUCCUGAUGACAUAAUAACCGAACUACAUAGCAAUGCUGAGUAUGCUCCAUCUCAUUCAUUUGAGGAAGAUGUGGGGGAUUGGACGUAUGAUGAUGGACAUAUGUUCAGUGAGGGGUUUGAAGAGGGUUUGAGUGAGGAGUGUGCAGAAGAUUCAAAUGUCAAGGACACAAUAGACAAACCAUUAUAUGACAAUGCCACAAUAACUGUGGCAGAGUGCCUUUUAAUCAUCAUGGCUUACGUAAACUGUCAUAAAAUAACUGACAAGGCCCUUAGUGAUUUGCUUAAAAUGUUCAAGUUACUUUGUCCUGGUAGUUUGCAUACAGAUCGCUUAAACAGUGUGCAGAAGUUCAAAGACUUUUUUUUAACCCACUCUGCAUCAUCUCCAAUUGUAUUGCAUAAAUAUUGCAGUAAUUGCUUUGGAUUAUUAGAGGGUGAACAAUUUGAAUGUCUGUCCUGUGGGACCAUUGUGUCAGAAGAAAAAUCCUCUUCUUUCAUAGAGGUUCCAAUUGAGGCUCAAAUAAGGUCUAUGUUUCUCAAGCCAGGUUUUCAGGAGAAGCUUAACUUUAGAUUAAACAGGACGAAGACAGAUCCCAAUAACAUUGAAGAUCUAUAUGAUGGAGAAGUUUACAGACAGCUUGUAGAUGGAGGUGGUCCUCUUAGUGACCCUAAAAACAUCUCACUUACAUGGAACACAGAUGGGGUACCUAUCUUUAAAUCAUCCAAGUUCUCAGUGUGGCCUUUUUAUUGUAUCAUUAACGAAUUAAGUUUCAUGGAACGCACAAAAAGAGAGAAUAUGAUAUUUGCUGGACUUUGGUAUGGGGAUUCAAAACCAUCCAUGGUUACAUUUCUAAGGCCACUAAGUGAUGCAUUGAGUAAACUUGCAGACAGUGGAGUUCUUGUGCAACCUGCAGAGUUGACAUCUGAACCUUUUGUGUGUAAAGUACUCACCAUUGCAGGAACAUGUGACUUGCCCGCUAAAGCCUUAGUCCUUAAUUCAGUGCAAUAUAAUGGGAAAUUUGGAUGUCAUAAAUGUGAGCAGCCAGGAGAGACAGUAAAGACAGGGGAAAGGGGACAUGUCCAUGUAUUUCCAUUCCAACACAGAGACCCAAAAGAGCCACUGCGCACAAAUGAAAAGUUUGCUCUUGAUAUGAAAACUGCGAAGGAGACCAACACUACUAUUAAAGGCGUGAAGGGGCCUUGUUGGCUUAGCAAUCUUAAAAGUUAUAACCUUGUAAAAGGCACUGCCAUAGAUUACAUGCACUCAGUACUCCUUGGAGUGAUGCGCCUUUUGAUGGUUCUGUGGUUUUCUACAGAGUUUUCACGUCAGCCCUUCAGCAUGGCCAAAAAUGCCAAAGAAAUUGAUAGGAGAUUUCAGGAUAUCUCUCCUCCAUCCUCAAUUCGAUAUCCUCGGUCGGUGACAUCUCACAGAAUGUUUUUCAAAGCAUCAGAAUUUCGUGCUCUUUUGCUUUACUAUGGACCUGUUGUUUUCCGUGGAAUUCUUGCAACACUGUACUACAAUCACUUCCUUCUACUAAGUGAAGCGAUUUUCAUUUUAUUGAUGGAAUCGAUAUCAUUUGAACAGAUACAUCAUGCAGAAAGACUAUUGUGGAACUUUUGUUCUCAAAUUGCUACACUCUAUGGUGACAGGUACGAAACUGCAAAUGUACACCUUCUUGUGCACCUAGCAGACAGUGUCAGGGCCCUUGGCCCAUUAUGGACUCAUUCAUGUUUCCAUUUUGAAGAUAAGAAUGGAUAUUUGUUAAGGCUUAUACAUGGCACUCAAAAUAUACCUAUGCAGAUGAUCCAUGCAGUCAAACUUGUGCAGUCUAUUCCUGUUAUUUCACAAACCAUAAAGCCAGGGAAUGCCAUAGCUGAAUUUUACAUACAUAUGACCAAAGAUGAUAGUUUCUGUGUGGAAAACCAUGAUUUGUGUAGGACUAAACUAUAUGGAGCAUCUAAUAAACUUCAACUGGACACAGUUCACCACUCUGCUUUGGAAAGAUGUGCUGGUCACUGCAUCAAUUCUAAAACAGUAAGGGUCUUUCACAGGGCACAAGUUAAGAGGAAUUAUCUCACAUCAAAACACUAUGGGAAAGGCAAUAGAAGAAACAAUUUCACAGUUGUUUUUUCUAGUGAAGGACAGAUAAAAUAUGGAAAGAUAGAUUUCUUCUUUAUCACAGAACAAUCCUGUGACAAAUGGGUUCUUGUUCAUGAAUUAAAAGAUGCAGGUUUUUCUUUGCUGCAAGAUAGUAGAACGAAUGGAACAUGCAGUCAUGUUGUUCCACUUGUGGAAACUUCUGUCAGAACAGUGGUUCCCUUGGAUUGUAUUUUGGGUAAAGUUGCUUACCUUGACAUCUAUGCCUGGCAUAGUGUUUGUAGCUCAUUUACCAAAUACACUUGA
ensembl:lncRNA